GCAGUAGGGAUGUUCUCUUGAUAAGUGUGUGAAUUGGACCAUUUUCCUGUCAAAAUGUCACAAGUACUUUUGGGUCUCAGGGAAAAUGUAUGGAGAAAAAAGUUCAUAAUUUUCCUUAGGAAUGUAGUGAAGUAAAAGUAACAGUUGGCAAAAAUAUAAAAAAUAGUUAAGUACAGACACCCAAAAAAACUACUUAAGUAGUACUUUCAAGUAUUUUUACUUAAGUACUUUACACCACUGCAUGUAAAGUGUUGGUCACAUGUUUCAUGAGCUGAAAUAAAAUAUCCCAGAAAUGUUCCAUAGCACACAAAGCUUAUUUCUCUCAAACAUCUUACUGAGCAUUUCUCCUUUGCCAAGAUAAUCCAUCCACCUGACAGGUGUGGCACAUCAACAAGCUGAUUAAACAGCAUGAUCAUUAGGCAGGUGCACCUUGUGCAGGGGACAAUAAAAGGCCACUCUAAAAUGUGCAGUUUUGUCACACAACGCCACAGAUGUCUUAUGUCACAUGUCUCAGUAAGCAAUUGGCAUGCUGACUGCAGGAAUGUCCACCAGAGGUGUUGCCAGAUAAUUGAAUGUUCAUUUCUCAUCCGGCUUCUUCGCCUGCGGGACCGUCUUGAGACCAGCCACGUGGCCAGCUGAUGAAAACAUGUGCUCGCACAACCGAGGAAUAUUUGCAAACUGCCAGAAACAGUCUCAGGGAAGCUCAUCUGUGUGCUCAUCGUCCUCAACAGGGUCUUGACCUGACUGCAGUGGGGAAAUGCUCAAGUUCGAUGGCCACUGGCACGCUGGAGAAGUGUGCUCUUCACGGAUGAAUCCCAGUUUCAUUUGUACCUGGCAGAUGGCAGACAGCGUGUAUGGCAUUGUGUGGGAUAGCGGUUUGCUGACGUCAGUGUUGUGACCAGAGUGCCCCAUGGUGGAGGUGGGGUUAUGGUAUGGGCCCCAUGGUGGAGGUGGGGUUAUGGUAUGGGCCCCAUGGUGGCGGUGGGGUUAUGGUAUGGGCCCCAUGGUGGCGGUGGGGUUAUGGUAUGGGCCCCAUGGUGGAGGUGGGGUUAUGGUAUGGGCCCCAUGGUGGCGGUGGGGUUAUGGUAUGGGCCCCAUGGUGGCGGUGGGGUUAUGGUAUGGGCCCCAUGGUGGCGGUGGGGUUAUGGUAUGGGCCCCAUGGUGGAGGUGGGGUUAUGGUAUGGGCCCCAUGGUGGCGGUGGGGUUAUGGUAUGGGCCCCAUGGUGGCG
rnacentral:lncRNA from 1 species